rnacentral:rRNA from 1 species
UAGGGAAUCUUCCGCAAUGGGCGAAAGCCUGAUGGAGCAACGCCGCGUGUGUGAUGAAGGGUUUCGGCUCGUAAAACACUGUUGUAAGGGAAGAAUGACAUUGAGAGUAACUGUUCAAUGUGUGACGGUAUCUUACCAGAAAGGAACGGCUAAAUACGUGCCAG